AAAAAAAAAAAAAAGAAGAGAAGAGAGAGAGACGACAUGAGAUAUCAAGCUUUCCUAAUUAUUCCUACAAAAUGCUGCCAUGAACAGACAAAUAAAGGCGGUGUUUGUGUAUUUUUAAGUCCUUGAAACUGAAGUGUUUUAUUUUGUUGCCCUCAUCACAUCCAAUGAAGGCAACCAGUCAGUUGUAAAUUAAGAUGGAAAUCAGAAAUCCACAAGAAACAUUAUAGAUGACUCAGAGCAGAAAAUAGUCGGGAAAAUUAUGGUCGAAAAUUCAGGCACCCAUGAUUGCAGCUAAAGUAUCAAGAAUUUCAGGAAAGAACAUAAAUGCAAAUGUAAUAAUAUGGUGAUGUUGCAUUAAUCCAUGGGAUUGGGACCUUAAAUAAUUCAAUGUAUACAAUUGUUUCCACUAAAUAAUCUACCAUGAAUAUCUAGGUAUACAAAUCAUUUAAUCCAAACCAACUCAUACCUCGUAGAACAAUCCCAGGGCCUAUGGGACCUCCUGAAACCUGCUCAUUUCAGGCAGGGACAAACAUAAAGCCUAGAUAACCCAUAAGAUUAUCUAACCAAGUUAGAUUAUUUUUCAAUGUCAAUAAUGAAUGACAAGAAGCUUUCUAAGCAUAGCUCAACUGUAUAUAAGUGUGUACAUGUUUCAAUUGUGCUGAGAUCUGACAGGAACAUCAAGCCUUAUUCAUAUUUGGGUUUAGCUAGAGUUGAGGUAGCCUGUUUAUGCU
rnacentral:misc_RNA from 1 species